AACCCACGGUGCGAGCACUUCCUCAAUAGAUCCUUAUACCUCUCUCAUGCAUCGUAUAGGGUCUCUAAGUCCAUUUGCACAAAGGAAGAGAUAUCAUUCCUCAACUU
rfam:Gossypium hirsutum cultivar TM-1 chromosome 1, whole genome shotgun sequence